CUCCGGUUGAUCCUGCCGGACCUGACUGCUAUCGGAUUGGUACUAAGCCAUGCGAGUCAUUGUAGCAAUACAAGGCGGACGGCUCAGUAACACGUAGUCAACCUAACUCGUGGACGUGGAUAACCUCGGGAAACUGAGAAUAAACCACGAUAGAUCAUAGUGCCUGGAAUGGCUUAUGGUCCAAACAGUUUACUGCCAUGGGAUGGGACUGCGGCCUAUCAGCUUGUUGGUGAGGUAAUGGCCCACCAAGGCGAUUACAGGUACGGGCUCUGAGAGGAGAAGCCCGGAGAUGGGUACUGAGACACGGACCCAGGCCCUAUGGGGCGCAGCAGGCGAGAAACCUUAGCAAUGUGCGAAAGCACGACUGGGUCAGUCCGAGUGAUUCCUGAUAAAGGAGUCUUUUGCUUGUCCUAAAAGCACAGGUGAAUAAGGGGUGGGCAAGUCUGGUGUCAGCCGCCGCGGUAAUACCAGCACCUCGAGUGGUCAGGACGUUUAUUGGGCCUAAAGCAUCCGUAGCCGGCUCUGCAAGUCUUCGGUUAAAUCCACCUGCUCAACAGAUGGGCUGCUGGAGAUACUACAGAGCUAGGGAGUGGGAGAGGCAGACGGUAUUCAGUGGGUAGGGGUAAAAUCCUCUGAUCCAUUGAGGACCACCAGUGGCGAAGGCGGUCUGCCAGAACACGUUCGACGGUGAGGGAUGAAAGCUGGGGGAGCAAACCGGAUUAGAUACCCGGGUAGUCCCAGCUGUAAACGAUGCAAACUCGGUGAUGCAUUGGCUUAUGGCCAAUGCAGUGCCGCAGGGAAGCCGUUAAGUUUGCCGCCUGGGAAGUACGGACGCAAGUCUGAAACUUAAAGGAUUGGCGGGGGAGCA
rnacentral:rRNA from 1 species